rnacentral:tRNA from 1 species
CGGGGCGUAGGCUAGCCCGGUUUAAGUCGCUCCGUUUGGGACGGAGAGAGCGCAGGUUCGAAUCCUGCCGCCCCGACCA